rnacentral:lncRNA from 1 species
GGGGCAGGAGCCCAAGCAGGGUGGCCAGUUUCACAAAGAGGCUGCAGGAAGCUGCUUCCAGCAGUCUGAGUCCUGAGGAGGAGACGAUAACAGUGGGAGAAGCACCUGGUAACAGCGGCACUUCAUCCAGGAAGAAAACAGGAUCUAAAAUAUAAACAACAUCCUUACAACACAAGAUAUGAGCGUCCAUCAUGGACCAACCAAUAACUUCAAUAAAAGUGCUGUAUCCCCUGGCAGAUGAUGAGUAUCUUCAAGAUGGUUGUGUAGAUCAGGAAUCUGGGAAUGGCUUGACUGGAUCCUCCAGCCCAGGGAUUCAUACAAGGCUGCAAUCAAGGUAUCAGCCAAGGCUGCGGUCAUCUCAAGGCGUAACUGGGGCAAGAUCUGCUUUCAAGCUUACUCACAAUGCUGUUUGCAGAAUUCAGUUCCUGCUGGGCUAUUGGACUAAGAGCUACAGUUUCUUAGUACUUAGCCUCUCCAGAGGGCAGCUCACAAUAGAGUAGCUGACUUUAUCAAAGUGAGAAAGUGAGAAAGAGCAAGAGAGUGCCAGCAGGAUAGAAGUCACAGCCUUUUAUAACCUACUUUCAGAAGUAAUAGCCCAUCACUUUUGUUACUUAGAAGGAAGUCAUUAGGUCUAGGCCACCCAUGGUGAGGGGUUACACAAGAACAUACCUACCAGAAGGCAAGGAUCACUGGGGGCUAUUUUAGAAGUAGUCUACUCCAAAGUGGUUCACCAGAAACGAGUUGCUCUUUCUCAACAAAGAAUUAGAGGUAAAGUUGUUGAGAGAGAGUUUAACAUGACAUAAAAGAAGAAUUGGUUAUGAAUCAUGGCAUUCGGAUCUAUAAGGAAGUAGAAUGAUUUAUCAUCCUCAGAUUGACCUUUUUGAUUCACUUUCUUCAAUGGGCUUUCUGGAAAGAAGUUACCUGGCACCUUACCUGACUCUCUCUCAAUUGAAGUGUUGGUUAAGGUAGAAUGGCCUCACCAAUCUUUCAGUGUCUCAUCCUUAUUUGAACAUUCGAUCGUACAGUAGAUUUGCAGUCUUAUAGUGUGUCAAUGACAGCACCACUUUUUCCAAAUCUUAUCCAGUGAUUCAGUAAUAAAGGCAUUUCUUGUGAUUCUGGAGCCUCAGCUAAGCUUUGAAACACACGUUCUGUGGCAGGGCAAGUUUUUUCAUGGUCUUCAGUGGCCAAAGAACAACAGUGAUUGUGAUAAGUUCCUAGAUGGAAUGAUAAUCUGUUGCAGGUAUUCAAUAAAGAAGAAUCCAAACAUAUUAGUUUUUAAGUUUUUGUUUAAAUUUAAUUAAUGAAUUAAUAAAUUAAUUAGUUUUCCAGAUGGCAUCUCACUCUAUUGCCCAGUCUGGAGUGCAGUGGUGCAGUUAUAGCUCACUGUAGCCUCAAACUCCUGGGCUCAAGCAUUUCUCCCACCUCAGCCUCCCAAGAAGCUGGGAGUACAGGGUUCACCACCCUGCCUGGCUAAUUUUUUAAAAUUUCUUUUUAGAGAUGGGGUCUCACUUUGUUGGCCAUGCUGGUAUUGAACUCCUGGCUUCAAGCAGUUCUCCCUCCUCAGACUCCCAAAGUACUAGGAUCACAGAUGUGAGCCACCACACCCAGCACCUAGCCUCUUAGUGGGGAGAGGGAACACCUUUUUUUUUCAAUCCUCUGGAAACCAGAAACUUGUUACUGUGGAUUUUAAAGGAAUUUCAAAGGUCUUCUACAUUUUUGUGGGAGACAAACUCAACCAAAACGCUUUCUCCUCAUGAGGGUACUAAGACAACUCAAGGGUAAAAUAAUAGUUUUUUUUUGUCCUGGCGCAGUGGCUCACGCCUGUAAUCCCAGCACUUUGGGAGGCCGAGGUGGGCGGAUCACGAGGUCAGGAAGUCGAGACCAUCCUGGCUAACACGGUGAAACCCUCUCUCUACUAAAAAAAAAAGUACAAAAAAUUAGCCGGGCGCGGUGGUGGGCGCCUGUAGUCCCAACUACUCGGGAGGCUGAGGCAGGGGAAUGGCGUUAACCCGGGAGGCGGAGCUUGCAAUGAGCCGAGAUUGUGCCACUGCACUCCAGCCUGGGCGACAGAGCGAGACUCCAUCUCAGAAAGAAACAAACAAACAAACAAAAAUAAUAGUUUUUUUUUAAUAGUGCUGGACAAGUGUUACCUACAUGUAAAAGAAUAUAGUUAGAUCCCUAUCUUAUAUACAAAAAUUAACCAAAAAUAGAUAAAAAUCUAAAUGUAAGAGCUAAAACUAUACAACUCUUAGUAGAAAACAGAAGAGUACAUCUUUGUGAUAGUGGAUUAGGCUGUAGUUUAUUAGACAUAACCAAAAACAACAAAAGGAAGAAUAGAUAAAUUUGACUUCAUCAAAAUUAAAAACUUCUGUGUUACAAAGGAUACCAUCAGUGAAAAGGCAACCCCACAGAUGGGGAGAAGAGAUUUGCAAGUCAUGUAUAUGAUAAGGGAUUUGUAUCCAAAGCAUAUAAAGAACGCUUACAACUCAGGAAAAAAAUAAAAAUGAAAAGGCACAGAACCCAAUUUGAAUUCAGGCAAAGGAUUAGAACAGACAUUUCUCUAAAGAUGACAUACAAAUGGUCAAUACACACAUACAAGGAUUCUCAACAUCUGUUAGUCAUCAGAGAAAUGAAAAUGAGAACCACAAUGAGUUAACACUUCACACCUGCUAGGAUGGGAAUAAUAAAAAUGACAGAUAAUAAGAAGCGUCAGUGAGUUAAUGGAGAAAUUGGAGGCUCAGACUUUGAUGGUGGGAAUGUAAAAUGGCACAGCUGCUUUGACAAACAGUUUGGGAUUUUGUCAAAAAGUUAAACAUGGGCUGGGCGCCAUGGCUCACACCUGUGAUCCCAGCACUUUAGGAGGGAAAGGCAGGCAGAUCACUUGAGGUUAGCAGCCUGACCAGCAUGGUAAAACCCCAUCUCUACUAAAAAUACAAAAAAUUAGCUGGGCAUGGUUGUGCAUGCCUGUAAUCCCAGCUACUCGGGAGGCUGAGGCAUGAGAAUUGUUUGACUCCAGGAGGCAGAGGUUGAAGUGAGCCAUGAUCGCGCCACUGCACUCCAGCCUGGGUGAUGGAGUAAGACUCCGUCUCAAAAAAAAAAAAAAAAUUGGGACCAGAGCAGCCAGCAGAUGUUUUCAAUUUUGGGCCCUUUGUUUGCUGUGGAAGAUGCACCUUUGCUGAGCUUGGCUGCUGAAUGGACGGCCCUC